AACGCACAUUGCGCCCGCUAGUAUUCUGGCGGGCAUGCCUGUUCGAGCGUCAUUUCAACCAUCAAGCCCUAGGCUUGCGUUGGAGCCCUGCGGCUGCCGCAGGCUCCCAAACCCAGUGGCGGGCUCGUCGUCGUACCGAGUGCAGUAAAUUUACCACGCUCAGGGCACGCGACGGGUGACCGGCCGUAAAACCCCCCACUUUCUCAAGGUUGACCUCGGAUCAGGUAGGAAUACCCGCUGAACUUAA
rnacentral:misc_RNA from 1 species